rnacentral:piRNA from 1 species
UCAAAAGGGGGCCUGCUUUUGAGGU